rnacentral:rRNA from 1 species
GGGGAAUAUUGCACAAUGGGGGAAACCCUGAUGCAGCGACGCCGCGUGGAGGAAGAAGGUCUUCGGAUUGUAAACUCCUGUUGUUGGGGAAGAUAAUGACGGUACCCAACAAGGAAGUGACGGCUAACUACGUGCCAGCAGCCGCGGUAAAACGUAGGUCACAAGCGUUGUCCGGAAUUACUGGGUGUAAAGGGAGCGCAGGCGGGAGAACAAGUUGGAAGUGAAAUCCAUGGGCUCAACCCAUGAACUGCUUUCAAAACUGUUUUUCUUGAGUAGUGCAGAGGUAGGCGGAAUUCCCGGUGUAGCGGUGGAAUGCGUAGAUAUCGGGAGGAACACCAGUGGCGAAGGCGGCCUACUGGGCACCAACUGACGCUGAGGCUCGAAAGUGUGGGUAGCAAACAGGAUUAGAUACCCUGGUAGUCCACACCGUAAACGAUGAUUACUAGGUGUUGGAGGAUUGACCCCUUCAGUGCCGCAGUUAACACAAUAAGUAAUCCACCUGGGGAGUACGACCGCAAGGUUGAAACUCAAAGGAAUUGACGGGGGCCCGCACAAGCAGUGGAGUAUGUGGUUUAAUUCGACGCAACGCGAAGAACCUUACCAAGUCUUGACAUCCCUUGACGAUGCUGGAAACAGUAUUUCUCUUCGGAGCAAGGAGACAGGUGGUGCAUGGUUGUCGUCAGCUCGUGUCGUGAGAUGUUGGGUUAAGUCCCGCAACGAGCGCAACCCUUAUGGUCAGUUACUACGCAAGAGGACUCUGGCCAGACUGCCGUUGACAAAACGGAGGAAGGUGGGGAUGACGUCAAAUCAUCAUGCCCUUUAUGACUUGGGCUACACACGUACUACAAUGGCGUUAAACAAAGAGAAGCAAGACCGCGAGGUGGAGCAAAACUCAGAAACAACGUCCCAGUUCGGACUGCAGGCUGCAACUCGCCUGCACGAAGUCGGAAUUGCUAGUAAUCGUGGAUCAGCAUGCCACGGUGAAUACGUUCCCG